ACCGCGACGCCGAAGACAGGGUCUGAAGAGCUACUCAGGGCCAACCCUGCACUGGAGACAGGAAGCUGGGCACCUGGAUGAGCCUCUGACCCAGAGCCCUGGAGCCCACAGGCUCAUCUGAGAACCAGACACACUUAGUCACUCCAGCUCCACGGGCAGGCACCUGCACAGAGGCUCCUGCUGCUGCUUCAAAGCUGCAUGAGCUACUUGGAGAACCUUGGCUCAGAGCAGAUGAUGCCCCCUGCACAGGCUGUGGGGCCCUGCAUGUCCGUGGGGCUCACGGUGCGGCGCUUCUGGGACAGCCUGCUGAGGCUGGGCACAUUCCACCAGCAGCCACUCCCACAGAAAGGGGCAAACCAAAGGGAGACUCCCACCUCCAAGCCCACCACCAAGGGCGAGCCAGCCAGGAGCCCUGAAUGUCUGACUGCCAAGUUCAUCAAGCCCUCCUCCCCAGUGCUAGGCUUGCCCCAGACCUGCCAAGAGCCAGAGAGCAUCCCUGUCAGAGCCUCCCUGCACUUCCCAGCCACGACCUCCAAGAACACCAGGAGUGUCCACUCCCAGACCAUUGAGACAGCCCUGGUGCCCUGUGACGCAUGCGCCAGCGUCCAGGGAAGCCUGCAGAAGGUGGGCAAGGCGGUCAUCAGCCUGUGUCAGCGCCAGAACCUGCCCUCGUCCUUAGGCCAGUUCCAGCAACUGGUGCAGGACAGCAUGGGGCUUAGGCCACUGCCGGCUGCCACUGUGGGCCGCUGGGCAGCAGAGCAGAGGAAAGACCUGACACGCCUCAGUAAGCAUGUGGAGGCCCUCAGGGCCCAGCUGGAGGAGGCCGAAGGGCAGAAGGAUGGCCUGAGGAAGCAGGCGGGCAAGCUGGAGCAGGCGCUGAAACAGGAGCAGGGGGCACGGCGGCGACAGGCGGAGGAGGAUAAGCAGUGCCUGUCUGAGUGGGAGCACGACAAACAGCAGCUGCUAACAGGUCUGUGCCCCAGAAGCCAGACGCCUGGUGCCCAGGGCCUCUGCCACAGCCUUUGCAUGGAUGUUUGUGAGACAGGGCUUCCAGGGCAAGUGGUUUGUGUGGAAGAACCCAGGCUGGGACACAGGCAAGAGGCAGGGAAGGGAGGGCAGCAAGGAAGGCUGUGUUCAUCCAGUGAUGACACUGUGAUCUCAGUCCCGCUGGGGCCACCAGGAGCUGGGCUAGGACACUUGCCCAGACUCGUCCCUCGGUCAGGGAGGGAACCGAGGUAUGUAUCCACUUGCACUGUCAGUCACUGAGGGCUACUUCCAGAGAGUUAUUCCCCUGGCACUGCCAAGCAGAGCAGCCUCUCUGGUUUUGGCAAAAGCCAUUAGAGACAAAGUUCCUGGCAUCAGAAGUUGGCCAGUGCCCACUGAUGGGAGGCCUGAGGGAUUUGCCCUUUCUGAGCCUCACAGUUGCCUCCAUGGAUGACACCAAGGCCCAGAAAGGUGUAGACACAUCACAGCCAGCCCAUGAGAAGCAGGGUGGAUAAGGGCCCAGCCGCUUCCACCAGCCUCCCUAGAGCUCCUCCCAUGGCCGCAGGCGGCCCCUCUGCAGGCGAUGGGCUGCCUUCACUCCACGGGGCACACUGGGCAUGAAGGCCACCGGCCAGGUCCAUGGGACCCUCUGAAGGGCCUCUCUCUUGGCUGCCAUAGAAACAAGUGACCUAAAGACAAAGAUGGCCACCCUGGAGAGGGAACUGAAACAGCAGCGGGAGUCCACGCAGGCUGUGGAGGCAAAGGCCCAGCAGCUGCAGGAGGAAGGCGAGCGCAGGGCGGCAGCGGAGAGGCAGGUGCAGCAGCUGGAGGAGCAGGUGCAGCAGUUGGAGGCUCAGGUGCAGCUGUUGGUGGGUCGGCUGGAGGGCGCUGGCCAGCAGAUCUGCUGGGCCAGCACGGAGCUGGAUAAGGAGAAGGCCCGUGUCGACAGCAUGGUCCGCCACCAGGAGUCUCUGCAGGCCAAGCAGCGAGCCCUGCUAAAGCAGCUGGACAGCCUGGACCAGGAACGUGAGGAGCUGCAGGGCAGCCUGGACGAGGCUGAGGCCCAGCGGGCCUGCGUGGAGGAGCAGCUGCAGAGCGAGCGGGAGCAGGGGCAAUGCCAGCUCAGGGCCCAGCAGGAGCUGCUGCAGAGCCUGCAGAGGGAGAAGCAAGGCCUGGAGCAGGCGACUACGGACCUGCGGCUAACCAUCCUGGAGCUAGAACGGGAGCUGGUGGAGCUGAAGGAGCGGGAGCGGCUGCUGGUGGCCUUCCCAGACCUGCACAGGCCCACCGAGACCCAGAUCCAUGAUCCAGCAGCGUGGAAUCCCAGAUAACAUGUCCCACAGACUCUGGCAACGUCACAGAUCACAUGGAGAGGCAAGUGCAGGCCAACGACAUCCGCAUCCGGGUCCUACAGGAGGAGAACGGGCGGCUCCAAUCAAUGCUGUCCAAAAUCCGGGAAGUGGCCCAGCAGGGUGGCCUCAAGCUGAUCCCGCAGGACCGGCUCUGGUCCCCUUCCAGCAAGGGAACCCAGGGAGCAACACCGCCAGUCCAGGCCCAGAGCACAUCCCCAGUCCAGGCCCAGAGCACGUCCCCAGGGCCUCUGGGCAGACAGCACCUUCCUAGCAGCAGGACGGGCAGGACCCUGCUGGGCCAGCCCUGCACAUCCCCACCUCGGCAGCCCUGCGCAUCCGCAUCUCAGCAGCCCUGUGCAUCCCCACCUCGGCAGCCCUGCGCAUCCCCACCUCGGCAGCCCUGCACAUUCCCACCUCGGCAGCCCUGCAGCCAGCCCAGCAAGUCCUUGCUGGAGGGUGUGACCCACGUGGACACCUGCACCCAGAACCCCAUCAAGGCCUUGGUCAGACUGAGGAAGAGACUGUCACCUGGCCGGGGACAGGCCAGCUCUGCACACCAGCCCCAGGAGCGGCCCAUGUAGCCUGUGGCCCAGGGCUGAGGCUGGAUGGGAGGUGGCUGGCAGCCCACCCACUAUAAUAAAGCCCCAGCCAUUGGCCCACAGCAAUCUUUGCCUCACAGUAUGACUAAGCCAAGGAAAGACCCUUCCUUCCCUGUCCUGGGCAGGGGCCACUGAGUCCCCAGCCAUGUAGUUCAGUCAGUCAGCAGAGUCCUGGCACUAUGGGCCCUCAGUAAAAGGGGCCUUCCUGCUUCCCUCCCGGCAGAGGCUGUGGGAUAGGAGAGUACACCCAGGGCAGAGGAAGCUCCUAGGACCCGGGCCAGGUGAAGGGCCGUUUUUCUAUCCCCAGAGCAAGGGUCGAGGGGUGAACCUGGCCUCAGUGGCCCACAUCGACUCAGAAAGGGCUCUGGUGGGAGGGGACAGAGGAAGGGCCGGUGAGGAGGUCUGAAGCAGGCAGAGGGCAGCAACGCCUUCAGCCUCCCACUCGGGCUCUGGACCUGCGCUGGGCACAUUAAGGACCCAAGAGGUCAGGCCUCCUUUCACUGAGGAACUCCUUGCCUUUAGGAAAUGGUGACCGUCAUGAAGGUUUCUCUAAAUCCUGGAGGUCAUAGCCCCAGGAGGCCACUGAAGGCGGGGCAAGGCCUCCACCAAACAGAGGACACCGUGCCAGCCCUGGCUUUCCCAUCCCUGUCCCUUGGGGGUCUCUUCAGCCCAGGGUGCCAUGCGGCCAAGCAUCUGGGGCUCUGGUUUUCCUCAUGAAGCCACCAGCCUACCCUGAGCCACCUCACCUGUGAAGGACAGUUUCCAAAACCUUGCUGAGGCCUUCUCAGGGUGCACGCUCCCAGAUGCCUGAAGCAUUUUCCCUUGGUGAAGAGGCUGUCAGGUAGGGCACCUCAGUUCACAGAGAAGGGUCAAGAGGGGCCAUGUAUAUAGCUGAGCUACCACAGCCUUGGUCGGCCCAACUUCCUGCUUCUGAGGGGCCUGGGAGUUCCUGAGGGAGGCUGGGGUGCCCUGGGCACCCCCCUCACAGGGGAGCACCAUCCCUCAGCACCCUGAGCCGGAAGGCCUGUGCUCAAGUCCAGGGGAAGGACCUCACAGCUGAGCAGCUCUCUCAGGCGCCCAUCAACUCCGUGGCCAUGUAUUCAUUAGCUCCCAGUUCUGGCGGCAGAAGUCCGGGUUCUGUGUGGCUGGGUUUUUUUGCUCCCGGGUCCCAGAGGGCUAAAAUUGAGGCAUCUACCAGGUUGCGUUCCUUUCUGCCAGUUCUGGGGAAGAAUUGGCUUCCAAGCUCCACUUGUUGGCAGAAUUCCGAUCCUUGCGGCCGUGGGACUGAGGUCCCCGUGUCCUCACUGGCUGGCUGUAAGCCAGGUCCUCUCUCGGCUCCUAGAGGCCGUCCACCUUCCUUGCCAUGGGGCUCCCUCCAUCUUCAAGUCAACAACAGAGGAUUUCUCAUGUGCUGAAUCCCCCACAUGCUUCAAUUCCCUGACUUCCUCCUCUUCUACUAGCAGAAAACUACUUUGAAUAGGCUCAUGUGGUUAGGGCAAGGCUCACUCAAAUACUUUCCCUAUCUUCAGGUCAGCUUGCCAUAAGACAGGACCCAACCAUGGGCGUAAAAUCCCUUUGAGAAGCCAGGCGCGGUGGCUCACGUCUGUAAUCCCAGUACUUUGGGAGGCUGAGGCAGGCGGAUCACCUGAGAUCGGGAGUUCGAGACCAGCCUGACCAACAUGGAGAAACCCUGUCUCUACUAAAAAUACAAAAUUAGCCGGGCGUGAUGGCGCAUGUCUGUAAUCCCAGCUACUUGGGAGGCUGAGGCAGGAGAAUUACUUGAACCCGGGAGGCGGAGGUUGCAGUGAGGUGAGAUCACGCCAUUGCACUCCAGCGUGGGCAACAAGAGUGAAACUCCAUCUCAAGAAAUAAAAAUAAAAUAAAUAAAUAAAA
rnacentral:sRNA from 1 species